rnacentral:rRNA from 1 species
CAGCAGCCACGGUAAUACAGAGGGUGCGAGCGUUAAUCGGAUUUACUGGGCGUAAAGCGUGCGUAGGCGGCUUUUUAAGUCGGAUGUGAAAUCCCUGAGCUUAACUUAGGAAUUGCAUUCGAUACUGGGAAGCUAGAGUAUGGGAGAGGAUGGUAGAAUUCCAGGUGUAGCGGUGAAAUGCGUAGAGAUCUGGAGGAAUACCGAUGGCGAAGGCAGCCAUCUGGCCUAAUACUGACGCUGAGGUACGAAAGCAUGGGGAGCAAACAGGAUUAGAUACCCCAGUAGCCCUGUCUCUUAUACA